rnacentral:rRNA from 1 species
CGCGGCCUAUCAGCUUGUUGGUGGGGUGAUGGCCUACCAAGGCAGUGACGGGUAGCCGGCCUGAGAGGGCGACCGGCCACACUGGGACUGAGACACGGCCCAGACUCCUACGGGAGGCAGCAGUGGGGAAUAUUGCGCAAUGGGCGGAAGCCUGACGCAGCGACGCCGCGUGAGGGAUGACGGUCUUCGGAUUGUAAACCUCUUUCACCCACGACGAAGCGAAAGUGACGGUAGUGGGAGAAGAAGCACCGGCCAACUACGUGCCAGCAGCCGCGGUAAUACGUAGGGUGCAAGCGUUGUCCGGAAUUAUUGGGCGUAAAGAGCUCGUAGGCGGCUUGUCACGUCGACUGUGAAAACCCGGGGCUCAACUCCGGGCCUGCAGUCGAUACGGGCUGGCUUGAGUGCGGUAGGGGAGACUGGAAUUCCUGGUGUAGCGGUGAAAUGCGCAGAUAUCAGGAGGAACACCGGUGGCGAAGGCGGGUCUCUGGGCCGUAACUGACGCUGAGGAGCGAAAGCGUGGGGAGCGAACAGGAUUAGAUACCCUGGUAGUCCACGUCGUAAACGUUGGGCGCUAGGUGUGGGGACCUAUCCACGGUCUCCGUGCCGCAGCUAACGCAUUAAGCGCCCCGCCUGGGGAGUACGG